UUGGAACUUUUUAAAUUCAAAAGAUGAAGUUUGAUCUGUACAUUGGGUGCAUUUGAUUCUUCACUGAUUCUUUAGGGGUGAAAAACGUAACUGUGAUGAUUUCCUUAAUUUGUAUUGCUAACGAAGGUACACAUUUGACGACGAUAUAUAUGAAACGGAUAUGAUGAACAAACAAUAUGCCAAACUCAAAGAAACGAAAAUCGAGAAGCGAAAGUCAUUGAAGCGAGCGUAGUGAAGCGAAGGUCAAGAAGCGAACCUGGGUUAGUGUCCAAAAAUUGGAACCGAAUGGAACCGAACGUUCGGUUGCGUUCGCUUUGGGUAUGAAAUUGAAGCGAACCUGAGAUUCGCUUUCGGUCCUUGAUUAAUUGAUUCGGAGCGAGAGGUUAUGGAUUCAGGGCUGCCUUGAUUCGCUCCAUUGAACUUGAAGUGAACCUCUCAUAGUCAUUGUUAUGCAAACGAAACUGGGAUUAUAGAUUCGAAACGAACCUGACAAAUCAAGAUGCGGAAGUUCGUCUCUCGUCUAAAGACACCAAAACGAAACUGAAAUUGGAAUAGGAGUUCAGACAUUCGUUCAGUCCUCCAUUUGUCGUCAUCGAUUCACAGUUCUUGGCUCAAUUUUGAAAUUGCAUAAACGAAGGAAUCGGCAUUCCCAGGUUCAUAAUCGGAUUAUCGGACCUUUCAAAUCAUCAAUCGGAAUUGGAAUUGGAUAUCUCAAAUCGGAACUUCAAGUAGACUGUCGUCGGAUCAAAACCAAAAUCUGAAAUCGGAAUUUAUUGUAGUAGAAAUCGAAAGUAUUUUGCUGAUUUUGACUUUUUCUAGUCAAAAGACGUGGUUCAUCCGUUCCAGUGAAGAAGAUCUUGGUCCCUGCACCUUCAGCGUUUUGAUUGUUCCAGUCCUCAACUAUUUACAGACUUCACAUAUUUAACCCACCUUUGAUAGUUUCAGCGUUAAAAUGAAGAAUAUGGGUUAUAUUUUCAACUUUUGCCCCCUGACUUUUAGAAGUUCACAGAUUUAAUCCCAUAUCCACAAUUCUUUUCAAUUUCUUGGGAUUCUAUCAUUUACCCCUUCUUACCAAAAUAUUUUCAUUUCUUAUCCUUUUCUUUGGUUUUAUUUUUUUCAAACCCUUCUAAAUAAUUGCUUCUUAUUCUAUUCUUUUGUCUAAAUUUAAAUAUCGGCAAAUACCAAAUUAAUUUUUGUUAUUUUUCCGGUUUUAAUUUUUGAGAAUUGGGUUUAUUCUAAAGGGAUUUAUUUCAUCAAAUCUGACGGGUUUUGAAGAUUGUUGGUGAUUCUUCUUAACUUUUUGGAUUCUCUCCAUGACAUUUGUUGAAGAUUCAAGGAGGAGUGAUGAUUAUUCAAGGGGGAGGUCGUAUUUGGAAGAUUGUUUUUAUUUCUCUCGCUUUGAAGACCCCAUGUGCUGAUGAGUAUCACAAUUUAGGGGGAGAAAUGCCAAGAAGAUCGAAAAUCGUGAUCUUCAUCAGUUUCAACAUCUAAGGGAAGAUUGUUGAGUAUUUGAGAUAUUGAAACUAAUUUGACAUAUUUGGUUAUUUAGGGAAGCCUUUUUAGCAUUAAUCAUUUUAUGAUUCCCUACGAUGCCUUUAUAGUAGAAGUUCUUAAUCGAGCUCUUCUAAGACAUUUGUUUUAUUUUAAGGCAUAGAUUUUAUAUUUAUGGUAUAUUUUUAUUGUACCCUAUAAAUAAUCAUUAGGUUAACUUUUGGUGUAAGCUUUUUACCAGAUUAGAGUUUUCUCUGUACGCUCAUCUCAUAAUCAAUAUACACAAAAACCUUUAUAUUA